rnacentral:rRNA from 1 species
AGAGGGGGCAAGCGUUGCUCGGAAUUACUGGGCGUAAAGGGCGCGUAGGCGGGAUGGUAAGUCGGUCGUGAAAUCCCUCGGCUCAACCGAGGAACGUCGAUCGAUACUACCGUUCUUGAGGAUUGCAGAGGAGACUGGAAUUCCCGGUGUAGCGGUGAAAUAUGUAGAGAUCGGGAGGAACACCGGUGGCGAAGGCGGGUCUCUGGGCAAUUCCUGACGCUGAGGCGCGAAAGCGUGGGGAGCAAACGGGAUUAGAUACCCCGGUAGUCCACGCUGUAAACGAUGAGCACUAGGUGUGGGGGGGUUCAGUCCCUUCCGCGCCGCAGCUAACGCAUUAAGUGCUCCGCCUGGGGAGUACGGCCGCAAGGUUG